CCAAUAGCGUAUAUUAAAGUUGUUGCAGUUAAAAAGCUCGUAGUUGAAUUUCGGGGUUAGUAGGUUGGUCAUGCCUCUGGUAUGUACUGGUCUCACUGAUUCCUCCUUCCUGAUGAGCCGUAAUGCCAUUAAUUUGGUGUUGCGGGGAAUUUGGACUGUUACUUUGAAAAAAUUAGGGUGUUUAAAGCAAGCUAACGCUUGAAUACAUUAGCAUGGAAUAAUGGAAUAGGACGUUCGAUCCUAUUUUGUUGGUUUCUAGGAUUGACGUAAUGAUUAAUAGGGAUAGUUGGGGGCAUUAGUAUUCAAUUGUCAGAGGUGAAAUUCUUGGAUUUAUUGAAGACUAACUACUGCGAAAGCAUUUGCCAAGGAUGUUUUCAUUAAUCAAGAACGAAAGUUAGGGGAUCGAAGACGAUCAGAUACCGUCGUAGUCUUAACCAUAAACUAUGCCGACUAGGGAUCGGAUGAUGUUAAUUUUUUAAUGACUCAUUCGGCGCCUUACG
rnacentral:rRNA from 1 species